AGUGGCGGACGGGUGAGUAACGCGUGAGAAUCUGCCUUGGGGUCGGGGACAACCACUGGAAACGGUGGCUAAUACCGGAUAAGCCGAUUGGUGAAAGAUUUAUUGCCCGAAGAGGAGCUCGCGUCUGAUUAGCUAGUUGGUGAGGUAAGAGCUCACCAAGGCAGCGAUCAGUAGCUGGUCUGAGAGGACGAUCAGCCACACUGGGACUGAGACACGGCCCAGACUCCUACGGGAGGCAGCAGUGGGGAAUUUUCCGCAAUGGGCGAAAGCCUGACGGAGCAAGACCGCGUGAGGGAGGAAGGCUCUUGGGUUGUAAACCUCUUUUCUCAGGGAAGAAGCUCUGACGGUACCUGAGGAAUCAGCCUCGGCUAACUCCGUGCCAGCAGCCGCGGUAAUACGGAGGAGGCAAGCGUUAUCCGGAAUUAUUGGGCGUAAAGCGUCCCCAGGUGGCGAUUCAAGUCUGCUGUCAAAGCACGGGGCUUAACUCCGUAAAGACAGUGGAAACUGAAUAGCUAGAGUGCCGUAGGGGUAGAGGGAAUUCCCGGUGUAGCGGUGAAAUGCGUAGAGAUCGGGAAGAACAUCGGUGGCGAAAGCGCUCUACUGGACGGCAACUGACACUCAGGGACGAAAGCUAGGGGAGCGAAUGGGAUUAGAUACCCC
rnacentral:rRNA from 1 species